CAGUAGCCGCGGGAAUACGUAGGGUGCAAGCGUUAAUCGGAAUUACUGGGCGUAAAGCGUGCGCAGGCGGUUAUAUAAGACAGAUGUGAAAUCCCCGGGCUCAACCUGGGAACUGCAUUUGUGACUGUAUAGCUAGAGUACGGCAGAGGGGGAUGGAAUUCCGCGUGUAGCAGUGAAAUGCGUAGAUAUGCGGAGGAACACCGAUGGCGAAGGCAAUCCCCUGGGCCUGUACUGACGCUCAUGCACGAAAGCGUGGGGAGCAAACAGGAUUAGAGACCCGCGUAGUCCCUGUCUCUUAUAC
rnacentral:rRNA from 1 species